rnacentral:rRNA from 1 species
AUAUCAGUCAUGCAUAGCAUAUCAAUAAGCGGAGGAAAAGAAACUAACAAGGAUUCCCUUAGUAACGGCGAGUGAAGCGGGAAGAGCUUAAAUUUGAAAUCUUCAAGGUUUUACCUUGACGAAUUGUAGUUUAAAGAAGUGUUUUCUGUUGAAGUUUUGGUAAAAGUUCUUUGGAAUAGGACAUCAUAGAGGGUGAGAAUCCCGUAUUUGACCAUUACUUUCAGCUUUGUGAUACACUUUCAAAGAGUCGGAUUGUUUGGGAAUGCAGUCCAAAAUGGGUGGUAAAUUUCAUCUAAAGCUAAAUAUUGGCGAGAGACCGAUAGCGAACGAGUACCGUGAGGGAAAGAUGAAAAGAACUUUGAAAAGAGAGUUAAACAGUACGUGAAAUUGUCAAAAGGGAAGCGUUUGACACCAGUGUUGUUUUCUCGAAAAUCAAUUAAAAAGAGUUGGAUUUUGUGUUGUAUUGACUUUAUCAGCUUUCUUCACUCUUUUCCAGCUUUUUUUAAUGCACUUUUCGUUUAACAAGUCAACAUCAGUUUCUUUUGUUGUAAAAAGGUCAUUGGAAGGUGGCUUUCUCUUCGGAGAAAGUGUUUAUAGCCUUUGACUCAUGCAAUCGGAGAGACUGAGGUCUGCAGCGUAGAUCCUUCGGGGUUAGAUACAUUUGUGCUAAGUUAUAGCUUUUCAUAGACAACUUGUUGACUAUGUUUAGUCUUGUAGCUUACUCGCUUAUGCUAUUUUACCUACGCUUAGGAUGUUGAACUCUAUCACACACAG